CUACGGUCACAUCAUGUUGAAACACCGGUUUCCGAACAAUCACCGAAGUUAAGCAACGUCGAGCCUGGUCAGUGCCUAGAAGGAUGACCUCUUGGGAAUACCAGGAGCAGUA